UGAUCCUGGCUCAGGAUAAACGCUGGCGGCGCACAUAAGACAUGCAAGUCGAACGGAAGUCGUUGUAAUGAAAUAGAAACGGACAGAGAACUUGUUCGAAGAAAGUGGAAGUAGACUUACAACAAUGGCUUUAGUGGCGGACUGGUGAGUAACGCGUAAGGAACCUGCCUUCUAGAGGGGAAUAACAAUGAGAAAUCAUUGCUAAUACCGCAUAUGCCGAGAGAAUCACAUGGUACAAUCGGGAAAAGAGUAAUCUGCUAGAAGAUGGCCUUGCGUCUGAUUAGAUAGUUGGUGGGGUAACGGCCUACCAAGUCGACGAUCAGUAGCCGGACUGAGAGGUUGAACGGCCACAUUGGGACUGAGAUACGGCCCAGACUCCUACGGGAGGCAGCAGUCGGGAAUAUUGCGCAAUGGAGGAAACUCUGACGCAGUGACGCCGCGUAUGGGAAGAAGGUUUUCGGAUUGUAAACCAUUUUAGACAAGGAAGAAACAAGACAGUACUUGUAGAAUAAGCUCCGGCUAACUACGUGCCAGCAGCCGCGGUAAUACGUAGGGAGCGAGCGUUAUCCGGAUUUAUUGGGUGUAAAGGGUGCGUAGACGGGAAGUCAAGUUAGUUGUGAAAUCCCUCGGCUUAACUGAGGAACUGCAACUAAAACUGAUUUUCUUGAGUACUGGAGAGGAAAGUGGAAUUCCUAGUGUAGCGGUGAAAUGCGUAGAUAUUAGGAGGAACACCAGUGGCGAAGGCGACUUACUGGACUGUAACUGACGUUGAGGCACGAAAGUGUGGGGAGCAAACAGGAUUAGAUACCCUGGUAGUCCACACCGUAAACGAUGGAUACUAGGUGUAGGAGAUAUUAAGUCUUCUGUGCCGUCGCAAACGCAGUAAGUAUCCCACCUGGGGAGUACGGCCGCAAGGUUGAAACUCAAAGGAAUUGACGGGGGCCCGCACAAGCAGUGGAGUAU
rnacentral:rRNA from 1 species